CCAAAGUCCAGAGGGAAACAGCCCAGAUCGUACGCAAAGGUCCCUAAGCAAUCACUUAGUGGAAAAGGAAGUUCUCGAGCGAUGUCAACCAGGAGGUGGGCUUGGAAGCAGCCAUCCUUUAAAUAAAGCGUAAUAGCUCACUGGUCUAGUUCCAAGGCACCAAAAAAUGUCUCAAGGCUCAAGUGAAUCACCGAAGCGAUGAGACCUUGAAAGCAAC
rnacentral:ncRNA from 1 species